GGAGGUGGGUCUGAAUGAUAUAGAGCCACUUUGAUAGAGUGAACAAUGAGGGUUAAAAUCCCUCUGCUUCCC
rnacentral:tRNA from 1 species